GUGAAUCAUCAAAUUUUUGAACGCAUAUUGCACCUUCUGGCAUUCCGGAGAGUAUGCCUAUUUGAGGGUCAUUUGUAAUAAUAUAAAUUCCAAGAUUUCUAGGAGUUUAAAAUGGGUUGUCCAUUUUUUGUGGACGCCUAAAAUCCAAGACAAGCUCAUUUUCUCUGGUUGCGUGAUACUUUCAGUUACUUCGCUAUUUAACAUUGAUCUAUCGUGCGUGUCAUGAAUUUUGUAAA
rnacentral:misc_RNA from 1 species